rnacentral:lncRNA from 1 species
GUCAUAUGUCAAUUGCGCAUCGUUUGUCAUUUAUCAAAACCUACAAAUAUGAACACACGUUUAGUUUAGUGCCUUGAGAACGUGUUUCAACACUAUUAAGAUAAGAAAACUAUAGUACACGGUUUCGAAAGAGUAAGGAAAUAAAGUAAUCAAACACCCGGGAAUUCAAAAGCUUUGAAUGAACUUAGUCAGGAAAAUAGGGGAAGCGGGUAAGUUGAAAAAUCAAUAGAACAUCAGUCGAGCCUUAGUAAGAGGAGAUUGAAAUCAAUCACAAGCUAACAUGAUCAACUUAGAAAACAAAACCCUCGUAUAUAAGCAGGCUAGUAUCAAGAAAGAAAGAAAGAUUGGCACAUACGAGAUCAAAACCACGAGAUAAAAGAAAGUUUCAACUCAAUUUAUAAACUCAAUACGAGUUUGAGAGACUAGGUUUCCAGAGUAGAACCCUAGAACAAAAAGCUUGCAAAAAUCACAAACACAGGGCUUUUAAUCCGAGUAGGACACAGAAAGGAGAAGGCAGAGUUCCCUAAGGAAAUACAAAAACACACAUAGCAAGUUAGAAGCAGUAGAGCGAUAAUCAGCAAAGGACAAGCUUAAGAGAAAGCUCAGAACUCAAGUGAAGUCAGAAGAGAAAAGAGAUGCCAUAGAAUUUCAGUAAAAGAAGCAAGUUAGAAACCAAAUGAAUCCAUUAAAGGCAAACAAUCUUAGUAGGAGAAAUAGCAGAAAGUCAUACAAGAUAAUCGUUUAAAUUAUACUUGUAAUAACCAGUAGAAGCAAUAACGGAGUGAAAACAUGCAUAAGAAUAGACGAAAACACAUAAGUCAUGGCAUGAUUACACAGAUUCACAUGAAGAAAGAACAAGAAGAAGAAUCAUUUUAGGAUUUUUUUGAAACUCCUAAUUUUGUACAGACUAAUUUAAAAAGGGAAAAUUGGGGGAACCUAUAGGCAUGAUAUCUAAGUAAUUAAGAAAAUGCAAAAAGCUUAUAGACCAAUCUCUAGGUGAUUUAAAGUGUUGAACCAAUAGGCAUGAUAUCUAAGUGAUUAAGUAACAACAAACCUAUAGGCAUGGUAUCUACUCUUGCAUAUAUGCAAGUAAAUAUAUAGCCCUACCACACCCUUUACUAAUAUUUUCUCUAGUUCUUUUUACAACAUAAUUACAGAACCAUAAGAAAGAAAGUAAACAAAAAGAUAUCACAGCCUACAGCUAGAUCCGAGCAGCCUAAUUCAAUCUUAAUAUCCAAUAACAUGUGUUUCACCAAAUCCGGAUUCCAGAUCCCAAGGCCUUCUCUUGCUCAAAAUGUUUCAAAGUUCCAAGGAGCCUCCAGGACCCCAGGCGAUGCUUACAUUCUGAAUAAUAAAUAUGGUAACUGAAUAGUGCAAGUGUGGGAUUACCAGCCCUCGGGCAUCCAAAUUCAGAGGGAACUCCAGGGUCCCAAAGCAUGGCUUACCCAAGGGGGUAGAACUUAAGAACUAGGAAUGAGUGCAAAGUGAAGGAGGAACCAUAGCAGAGGGUGGUCAUACCCAGCCACGGCAUAGGCUGGCACACCCCUGACCCCUUGCUUAGGUCAAACCAAUAGGAGCAGACUCUAGGGAGUCAAACUUAGGGUCUGAGUGGUGAUUAGGACACUACUAGACCCAAGUUAAAUAUCAACACAUAGGGGGUAAAACUUAGGAACUAGGAAUGAGUGCAAAGUGAAGGAGGAACCAUUGCAGAGGGUGGUCAUACCUAGCCACGGCAUAGGCUGGCACACCCCUGACCCCUUGCUUAGGUCAAACCAAUAGGAGCAGACUCUAGGGAGUCAAACUUAGGGUCUGAGUGGUGAUUAGGACACUACUAGACCCAAGUUAAAUAUCAACACAUGGGAAAGCAUUUGAGAAUAGACUUAGGAGAGUCUGAUUCUGGAUCAUGGACAACAAUAUCAGAUUCUGCCAUGAUUUAGAACAGUACUAGCACACAAAAUCAACACAUGGGAAAGCAUUUGAGUAUAGACUUAGGAGAGUCUGAUUCUAGAUCAUGGACAACAAUAUCAGAUUCUGCCAUGAUUUAGAACAGUACUAGCACACAAAAAAGGAAUAGAGGGAAGGGAUUUCCAUACAAAAUCAUACAUUGACAUUAAGGAAAAUAUAAGAGAGCAUAGCAGACUGAAGAUGCAAGGACAUAGAAGAAAGAAUAGAAAGUGCUACAGGUGCAGGACAUAAACACGUAGUGAAGAAACUGUAGAAGAGGAGAAGUGAACAUACAUAAUUGGAGAGUGUUAUUUAACUAGAAAUACAUACUAGUUGCAAUUCUAGAUCAACAUACAAAAAACAACAAGUAGACAGCCUGACAGUUAGUAGGAACAACUCAAAUACUUCAGCAAACACUUGGGAGUACAGAGGAAUUCCAGAAUAUUCAGACAACAGGAGAGAAAAGAGCAAAAUGCUCAGUAGCAGUAGAGAAAGCAGUAGUAGAGAGAGGGAUAGUAGAAAGGGAACUGUUAUGCAGUAUUGAGAAGAUGUAUUUUUGAUUUUCUGAAGUGUGAAGUGUAUUGCAAAGGUGCAUAAAGAAUUGUGUUUGAGAGGGAGCGGUCUAUAGUUGAAAAGGCGUCCCUUUUUAUAGUGCAAAAACGAGUAAACAAAAAGGCAAAGAAAUAAAAUUUUUGUCAAUCAAACAGAAUCUUCUUUUGUCCAAGGGAUUUGAUUUCAAACAGGAAUGAGUAAUUAAGAAAAGAAAAAAUAGUAAAACCCUUUUCAGAGUAGCAUAAUAAGGAUAGGUUCAUAUAGGGUCUAUUUAAGGUAACAAAACUAUAGUACACGGUUUUAAAAGAGUAAGGAAAUAAAGUAAUCAAACAGGUGGGAAUUCAAAAGCUUUGAAUGAACUUAGUCAGGAAAAUAGGGGAAGAGGCUAAGUUGAAAAAUCAAUAGAAAAUCAGUCUGAGCGUUAGUAAGAGGAGAUUGAAAUCAAUCAAAAGUUAACAGGAUCAAUUUAGAAAACAAAACCCUCGUAUAUAUGCAGGCUACCUUAGUAAGAGGAGAUUGAAAUCAAUCACAAGUUAACAGGAUCAAUUUAGAAAACAAAACACUCGUAUAUAAGCAGGCUAGUAUCAAGAAAGAAAGAAGAUUGGCACAUACGAGAUCAAAACCACGAGAUAAAAGCAAGUUUCAGCUCAAUUUAUAAACUCAAUACGAGUUUGAGAGACUAGGGUUUCCAGAGUAGAACCCUAGAACCAAAAGCUUGCCAAAAUCACAAACACAAGGCUUUUAGUCCGAGUAGGACAAAGAAAGGAGAAGGCAAGCCCUUACAAUAAGCCUAGGGAAAUCUUUCAGAGAUCUCUAAGGAAAUGCAAAAACACACGAAGCAAGUUAGAAGCAGUAGAGCGAUAAAAUUACAAAGGACAAGCUUAAGAGAAAACUCAGAACUCAAGUGAAGUCAGAAGACAAAAGAGAUGCCAUAGAAUUUCAGUAAAAGAAGCAAGUUAGAAAUCAAAUGAAUCCAUUUAAGGCAAACAAUCUUAGUAGGAGAUAUAGCAGAAAGUCAUACAAGAUAAACGAGUAAAUUAUACUUGUAAAAACUAGUAGAAGCAAUAACGGAGCGAAAACAUGCAUAAGAACAGACGAAAACACAUAAGUCAUGUCAUGAUUAC